AAUGGGUCAGCGACUUAUAUUCUGUAGCAAGGUUAACCGAAUAGGGGAGCCGAAGGGAAACCGAGUCUUAACUGGGCGUUAAGUUGCAGGGUAUAGACCCGAAACCCGGUGAUCUAGCCAUGGGCAGGUUGAAGGUUGGGUAACACUAACUGGAGGACCGAACCGACUAAUGUUGAAAAAUUAGCGGAUGACUUGUGGCUGGGGGUGAAAGGCCAAUCAAACCGGGAGAUAGCUGGUUCUCCCCGAAAGCUAUUUAGGUAGCGCCUCGUGAAUUCAUCUCCGGGGGUAGAGCACUGUUUCGGCAAGGGGGUCAUCCCGACUUACCAACCCGAUGCAAACUGCGAAUACCGGAGAAUGUUAUCACGGGAGACACACGGCGGGUGCUAACGUCCGUCGUGAAGAGGGAAACAACCCAGACCGCCAGCUAAGGUCCCAAAGUCAUGGUUAAGUGGGAAACGAUGUGGGAAGGCCCAGACAGCCAGGAUGUUGGCUUAGAAGCAGCCAUCAUUUAAAGAAAGCGUAAUAGCUCACUGGUCGAGUCGGCCUGCGCGGAAGAUGUAACGGGGCUAAACCAUGCACCGAAGCUGCGGCAGCGACACUAUGUGUUGUUGGGUAGGGGAGCGUUCUGUAAGCCUGUGAAGGUGUACUGUGAGGUAUGCUGGAGGUAUCAGAAGUGCGAAUGCUGACAUAAGUAACGAUAAAGCGGGUGAAAA
rnacentral:rRNA from 1 species